rnacentral:misc_RNA from 1 species
UUUCCGUAGGUGAACCUGCGGAAGGAUCAUUAUUGUAUAACCGAGGUGCGAGGGCUGUCGCUGACCCGAAAGGUCGUGCACGCCCGAGUGCCCUCACACACAUCCAUCUCACCCCUAUGUGCACCACCGCGUGGGUCCCCCUUUGGCUUGUUCGGAGGGGGGCUUACGUUUUCACACAAACUUUGUAUGCAGUGUAGAAUGUAUUUUUUGUUUUUGCGAUCACGCAAUCAAUACAACUUUCAACAACGGAUCUCUUGGCUCUCGCAUCGAUUAAGAACGCAGC